rnacentral:rRNA from 1 species
GAAUCUGAAACCAUAUACUUACAAGCGGUCGGAGCACUAUACCAUGUAUGGGAUGUGUGACGGCGUGCCUUUUGCAUAAUGAUCCGGCGAGUUACCGUUUGCGGCACGGCGAAGGCCUUACGGGCCACAGCCAGAGGGAAACCGAGUCUUAAUAGGGCGUAUAGUCGUAGGUGGUAGACGCGAAACUGAGUGAUCUACCCAUGAGCAGGUUGAAGCGCGGGUUAUACUGCGUGGAGGACCGAACCCACUUAGGUUGAAAACUGAGGGGAUGACUUGUGGGGAGGAGUGAAAGUCUAAUCAAACUCAGAGAUAGCUCGUUCUCUCCGAAAUAGCUUUAGGGCUAGCCUUGAGCCACUAUGAAUCGGGGGUAGAGAGACUGAAUCGGAUGGAGGCCCUUCCCGGGGUACUCCACCGAACCAAACUCCGAAUACCAGUACGACUAUCUCGGGAGUCAGUCCGCGGGGGAUAAGCUCCGUGGUCGAGAGGGAAACAACCCAGACCAUCUGCUAAGGUCCCGAAGUCAUGCUCAGUCACUAAGGAAGUUGAGUUGCUGAGACAGCCAGGAUGUUGGCUUAGAAGCAGCCACCAUUUAAAAAGUGCGUAACAGCUUACUGGUCGAGCAAUUCUGCGCCGAUAAUGAACGGGAGUAAGUACUAUACCGAAGCAGUGGAUUGCAUAUUUAUUUAUGCAGUGGUAGGAGAGCGCUGUACACUAGCAAGCCGUACUGAAAAGAGCGGUCACGGAGUGUACAGGUGAUUAUGCCGGAAUGAGUAACGAUAAAGCAGGUGAGAAUCCUGCUCGCCGAAAGCCUAAGGUUUCCUGGGGAAGGUAAAUCCGCCCAGGGUUAGGCGGGGCCUAAGGCGAGGCCGAAAGGCGUAGUCGAUGGACAGCAGGUUAAUAUUCCUGCCCCAUCAUGCAAGGUUGAUCCAGCGGUGCGGAUCUUGAAGUUCAGCGGGACAGUGAAGCGUCCAGGCCCUUGAGGCCGUUGCUGGGUAGAUAGGUUCCAAGAAAAGCCGUCUGGUGACGAACAUGAUGCCCGUACUAAAACUGACACAGGUAGGUGUGGCGAAUAGCCUCAGGCGCUCGAGAAAACGGUUGUGAAGGAACUAGGCAAAUUGACCCUGUAAGUUCGCGAUAAAGGGGCCCUAUCCAUUUAUGGAAGGGCGCAGAGAAAAGGCUCUGGCGACUGUUUAUCAAAAACACAGCACUGUGCUAACACGCAAGUGGACGUAUACAGUGUGACUCCUGCUCGGUGCCGGAAUGUUAAGGAAGCAGGUUAGUCCUUCAAUGGGCAAAGCUUGUGACUGAAGCACCGGUAAACAGCGGCCGUAACUAUGACGGUCCUAAGGUAGCGAAGUUCCUUGUCGGGUAAGUUCCGACGUGCAUGAAUGGAGUAACGACUGGAGCACUGUCUCCACAACCAACUCGGUGAAAUAGUAGUGGCGGUGAAGAUGCCGCCUACCCGCAGCAAGACGGAAAGACCCCGUGGACCUUUACUGCAGGCAUAUAUUGGUCAUGGACCUGUAC